GACGAACGCUGGCGGCGUGCUUAACACAUGCAAGUCGAACGGAAAGGCCCUGCUUGCAGGGUACUCGAGUGGCGAACGGGUGAGUAACACGUGGGUGAUCUGCCCUGCACUUCGGGAUAAGCCUGGGAAACUGGGUCUAAUACCGGAUAGGAGCCAUUUUUAGUGUGAUGGUUGGAAAGUUUUUUCGGUGUAGGAUGAGCUCGCGGCCUAUCAGCUUGUUGGUGGGGUAAUGGCCUACCAAGGCGGCGACGGGUAGCCGGCCUGAGAGGGUGGACGGCCACAUUGGGACUGAGAUACGGCCCAGACUCCUACGGGGGGCAGCAGGGGGGAAUAUUGCACAAUGGGCGCAAGCCUGAUGCAGCGACGCCGGGGGGGGGAUGACGGCCUUCGGGUUGUAAACUCCUUUCGCUAGGGACGAAGCUUUUGUGGCGGUACCUAGAUAAGAAGCACCGGCUAAUCACGG
rnacentral:rRNA from 1 species